AUGACCACACUGAUUCUACUGCUGGCCAUCUUUCCUCAAGUUUCCUAUCAAGAGGUUCAGUCUCCUGAGUUUCUGUCUGUUGAAGCAGGAAAGAGUGUCUCUAUUAGCUGUACUGGAACUAGUGGAGUUGACAGUGAUAUGAGUUGGUACCUGCAGAAACCUGGAGAAGCUCCUAAACUCCUGAUUUAUAGAGCGAGCACACGUGAGUCUGGAGUUCAAGAACGAUUCAGUGGUUCAUAUUCAGGGCUUAACUUUCAACUGACCAUCAGUGGAGUCCAGCCUGAGGAUGCAGGAGAUUAUUACUGUUUGGGAGCUUAUAGCGGAGGAGUGAUCACACAGUGA